UGGUUGAUCCUGCCGAAGGCUACUGCUAUUGGAGUUCGAUUAAGCCAUGCGAGUCUAAGGGGUACUUGUACCCCUGGCAUAAUGCUCAGUAACACGUGGAUAAUCUACCCUUAGGUGGGGCAUAAACCCGGGAAACUGGGGCUAAUACCCCAUAGAUACAGAAGGCUGGAAUGCCUCUGUAUUCAAAGCUCCGGCGCCUAAGGAUGAGUCUGCGACCUAUCAGGUAGUAGUCAGGGUCACGACCUGACUAGCCAACGACGGGUACGGGGUGUGAGAGCACUUGCCCGGAGAUGGUUUCUGAGACACGAAACCAGGCCCUACGGGGCGCAGCAGGCGCGAAAACUUCGCAAUGCGGGAAACCGUGACGAGGGAACUCCAAGUGUCUAUGCAAUGCAUAGACUGUUUUUCAGCCUAAAUAGCUGUUAGAGUAAGGGGUGGGUAAGACCGGUGCCAGCCGCCGCGGUAACACCGGCACCCCGAGUGGUAGCCACUAUUAUUGGGCCUAAAGCGUUCGUAGCCGGUUUAGUAAAUUCUUGGGUAAAUCGUACAGCUUAACUGUGCGGAUUCCGGGGACACUACUAGACUUGAGACCGGGAGAGAUUAGAGGUACUUGCAGGGGAGCGGUGAAAUGUUGUAAUCCUGCAGGGACCACCAGUGGCGAAGGCGUCUAAUCAUAACGGCUCUGACAGUGAGGAACGAAACCCUGGGGCGCAAACGGGAUUAGAUACCCCGGUAGUCCAGGGCGUAAACGCUGCUGACUUGGUGUUGGAGAUCCUACGAGGGUGUCCAGUGCUGGCGCGAAGGUAUUAAGUCAGCCGCCUGGGGAGUACGGUCGCAAGACUGAAACUUAAAGGAAUUGGCGGGGGAGCACUGCAACGUGUGGAGCGUGCGGUUUAAUUGGACUCAACGCCGGGA
rnacentral:rRNA from 1 species